GGCCAACUGGCUCAGCCGGGUAGGAGCUCUACUGGCAAUCACAAGGCCGGGGUUCGAACCCCCGACGUGGCUA